rnacentral:ncRNA from 1 species
CAAAGGCAUGGUCCUGACCUUAUACUUCAGCUCUUACCAACUGACACAUGCAAGUCUCCGAAUCCCGUGAGUAUGCCCUCAAAUCCCGGCCCGGGGAGGAGGAGCGGGUGUCAGGGGACAACUUUUGGCCCAACACGCCAAGGCUGAAGCCACACCCCGCAGGGAUUCACCAGUCAUAAACAUUAAGCGAUAUGUGAAAAGUUGACUCUAGUCAGGCUUAAGAGGGGCGGAAAAAGUCGUCCCUGCCACCGCGGUUAAACGAGAGGCCAUGGAUGAUAUCACCACGGCGAAAAGGGUGGUUAAGGUAAGCAAAACAAUCAAGCCGAAUGGCCCAUUGGGCGUCAUACGCACUUAGCUGCCCGCAACCCUAACACGAAAACGGCUUCAAUGAAACGUACUUGAUUGCUCGAGUGCUGACGUAUCAAUCACGGAUUAGAUACCCCACUCUGGUCAGCCUUAAAGUAAGAGACUAAUACACAACAAUGUCAUCCAGGCCACUUCGAGCACCUGCUUGAAACCCAAAGGACCAGACCGUGGCUUAGAUCCACGUAGACGAGCCUGGUUCUAGAACCGAUAAUCCCCCGUUAAACCUCUCCAGUCCUAGCAUUAUCAGCCUCUAUUCCACGGUCGCCAGGAUUACGCUGUGUAGGUAAUACAUGUUAGCUCAAACGGUAAAUCCCAGUACGACAGGUCGCGGUGUUGCAAACGAAGUGGAAUGAACUGGCCUAGAUUUUCUAUUAUAGAAUAAAACACGAUACGCAAUAUGAAACUUUUAAUGCUUGAACGAGGAUUUAGUAGUAAAUCGGAAAGAGAGCUUCCGUUUGAACCCGCCUCUGAGGCGCCUACUCUGCGCCGGUGACUCGCGCCUGACAAAAUGCCGCUAGCAUUUCCUUUAAAAAACAGCACCGACGAGGGGGGAAAAGUCGUAACAAGGUAAGUGUACCGGAAGGUGCACUUGGAUUAAACU